rnacentral:lncRNA from 1 species
CCAUUCUGCUCGCCUAGCGAGCAUGACAGCUCAUGAACAAACUUUUGCUCCUUCAAGAUUAACGUUUUGACUGACGAAUAGACCCCAUUUGAACCUGUUGGAAGUAUCUCAAGCCAUUCCCUUGUGUUGACUGAUCAUCUAAAUAGAACCCACAAAGUGUCUUGGAUGAUACUCAAGCUUCAAACAAAAGAUGUUAGUGACACAUUUUUGUGCUUUUGGUUAGUAAACAAAAGUAAGAGAAACAAUGAUGUAUAAUUCAAGCAUGCUUGGUGAUCUCAAACCAAUCACAAGGAGUCCCACCCAAAGGCAAAGGGAACCAAGAUGCUAAAGAUCCUUGAGGCAAUGCAAAUGCAAUGUUAUGAUGCCAUGAGGGAUCUUAGGGUCAAAAUUGGGGUCUUACAGAUGCCCCUAUUUAAGGUCAUUCUAGCCGGAGAAGUGAAGGUUAAAAUCUUCGUCUCGACGGGGUAGAAUGGGCUUAAAUAAUAACAAAGAGACGAAUUUUGGUCCCUAAGAGACCUCAUGAUGCAAAUGUAGGUAUGAAAAAUGGUAGCACUCUGUGGAGAUAUGUGUCCACAAAAGCAAAGAAAUCAGAAGCCACUGAUAAUCCAUAUGAGCAAUUCACUCCAUGGGACCAAGACCCUGGGGACUCUCCUGGGGAUAGAAAAGGGAUAAAAAUGCGCGAGCAGGUCACGACUCAAAGCGUGGGGAACAGAAUUCCAAAGGGAAAAGAUCCAAUGGAAAGACUCGAGCUGACUCGAAGAUGCAUGUAUUGGGGAAUAUGCCAAUACAGCAAAAAACUAUCCACAGCGGAUACUUCGGAUAAAAUCCGGAUGAAAACAAUCCACUAAGGGACUUCGCUGGGGAUGUCCACAAGGACACUCCUGGGGAAGCAGCGGGACGAGGUAUUACCGGUUACUGGGUAAUAAGCUCAAGGAGACAUGUGAUCUGAACGCCAGGUAUGAGGGUGAGAGAUACAACAUGCUCAGGAAGAGAUGAAUAUCCAAGACCGGUAUAAGGGUGAGAGAUAUCAAAACUUCAAAACGUCUGAGGAAAACCUAAAAGGUAUACUUCAACUCAGGGAUUCUGACUCCACAGGGGACAAAAAGUCAUAAUAGGGAGCAGAGAGGAAGGAACACCAGGGAUACCGGUUACUGGGCAUAUAAUAGGUGACCAACCAAGGCGUGAAUUGGGGAAUAUUCCCAAAACACUCAUCAUCCAAAAGAGGGCUAAAAGCAAACUCGAUUACAGGAUGGAUAUUCGACUCCACAAAGGGGAUACGAAUCUUACUCAACUGGGGAAGAACAAAAGGCUUCAGACCCGAGAGUGCAUGAGAUAUACUAUCUAUUACCGUCAGAACGUAGAUAAUAUACUCACAUGGAUGAUUAUCCACAACCGGUUACUGGGUUAAUAAAGGAUAAAUCGACCGAAAAGAAAAGGCAUCGGGAUACCGAAACUAGGUAUAUAAUGAUGACCAAUUUAGGGGAGACACAAUCGUUACCAACAACAAGGUAGACGAGAGAUGACCCGCUGGGGAUAAAUUGCGUAAUCAGGGCAAUUAUCCAAGCAAAUGAGGGGAUAUCAUCACAGAAUAUUUGAUGAAGAUAACUGUCACCAAUUAAAGAUGAGCAAAAAUAGUUACUCUACAAAAAGGGAAGAAAUGGGGUUUACAACUACCGGUAUGAGGGUAGAGGAACACAGACUCCGCCGGGGAUAAUAAUUACUAAUUAUUGAGCAAUUAUUCAUUUACCACGGGGAAAUAGGAAAAGAGUCUCAAGAGACCGAUCUAGGAUCAAACUAGAUAGGCACACCAAAUCAAGAACGGGGAUAAUAAUUACUAAUUAUUGAGCAAUUAUUCAUUUACCACGGGGAAAUAGGAAAAGAGUCUCAAGAGACCGAUCUAGGAUCAAACUAGAUAGGCACACCAAAUCAAGACUUGUCCCGGUGAGGGUAUAACUCAAUGGGGAAAACCAUCCCAGUAUAUGUGUUGGGAAGGAACAAAAAUAAUCAACAUCCACGAGGAUAUAACCCGGUGGGGAAUAUGGAAGAAAGGAUAUAUGCUUUCUGCCUAUGGGGAUGACUCCAUAUGGAGAGAUCAGAUACACACGUCUGCUUGGGAAAGUAUAUCACCAAAUAGCAGGAGACAGCAAACAACGAUAUAGGGCAAAGAAUGCAACAUGAAUAUCUGAAUGUUAUAAUUAUGCAUGUAUAUGCGUGGUCUAUGUAUGAUGUAUGCUGAAAGACAGACAUAUCUAACACAAGCAGGUACAGGAAUCAACCACCCGGUACUACAUCUCAAGAGAGAAAGCCAAGUUCACCGGGGAGUAUCCAAUCUGCUGGGGAUCAGAGAUACCAGGAAGCAAAGAACUCUGCAGGGGAUGAAUCAUCAAUCAUUCCAGCUGGGGACGAGAGUUAUCACAGACAAGGUCCACCACACCAACAACUCUACUGGGGAAUCUAUCCGAGGAGAUAAAGGAUUUAUCAGGAUCAACCACCAAAUACCGCUCUUGCCCAAAGAGAUCCAAGCUGCUGAGGAAGAAAGAUUGCUACUCUGCUGAAGGGAAGAGAGGUGACUCUCAACAAGCAAUCCACUUGGUAGGAUAAACCACAAGGGGUUCCGGAGGGAGGAGAUACAGUCAUGCCAGGAAUAUGGACAAAAAUCUUACCNNNNNNNNNNNNNNNNNNNNNNNNNNNNNNNNNNNNNNNNNNNNNNNNNNNNNNNNNNNNNNNNNNNNNNNNNNNNNNNNNNNNNNNNNNNNNNNNNNNNNNNNNNNNNNNNNNNNNNNNNNNNNNNNNNNNNNNNNNNNNNNNNNNNNNNNNNNNNNNNNNNNNNNNNNNNNNNNNNNNNNNNNNNNNNNNNNNNNNNNNNNNNNNNNNNNNNNNNNNNNNNNNNNNNNNNNNNNNNNNNNNNNNNNNNNNNNNNNNNNNNNNNNNNNNNNNNNNNNNNNNNNNNNNNNNNNNNNNNNNNNNNNNNNNNNNNNNNNNNNNNNNNNNNNNNNNNNNNNNNNNNNNNNNNNNNNNNNNNNNNNNNNNNNNNNNNNNNNNNNNNNNNNNNNNNNNNNNNNNNNNNNNNNNNNNNNNNNNNNNNNNNNNNNNNNNNNNNNNNNNNNNNNNNNNNNNNNNNNNNNNNNNNNNNNNNNNNNNNNNNNNNNNNNNNNNNNNNNNNNNNNNNNNNNNNNNNNNNNNNNNNNNNNNNNNNNNNNNNNNNNNNNNNNNNNNNNNNNNNNNNNNNNNNNNNNNNNNNNNNNNNNNNNNNNNNNNNNNNNNNNNNNNNNNNNNNNNNNNNNNNNNNNNNNNNNNNNNNNNNNNNNNNNNNNNNNNNNNNNNNNNNNNNNNNNAGGAAUAUGGACAAAAAUCUUACCCUGUUGGGGAUCGUACCACCCUUGGGAGAGCACUGAGGAUCUCCUAAGUAUCCUUUCGUCAUUGUGAAUGUUCACUUUGUUUAAAAACAAAUUAUAAAAAAUUUGAUCGUUUAAAACAAUGAUAUUUUCUUAAUCAAAACAUGCAAAACAUUUGUUGAAUAGAAACAGAUAAGAGUGCCAAUAAUUGGAUAAAAGGCUCAAAUUUAUUUGAUAGAAUGGUAGUCUGCGAAUGGCAAGACUCCAUAGAUCUUUACAAAUUUGAAAUUGGUGAUAUAUAUUGGAAAAGGGCUACAUUGAACAUAAUGACCAUUUCUCCACCAAUUCUGAAUCCGAUGUAUUUGAAGCUUUGGCUGAUAAUGAGCAAGGAUCUCUGACGGACGACAGUUGUAGAACAAAGUCUUGUCAGGAUGCAGUUACUUGCCAAAUCCCUAAUUUUUGCCUAGAUUGCCCCAGGAUGAGGUACUCAAUCUAGCGGGAUUAUUAUAUAUUUUUUGUGUCUCUAACUUUUUCCUAGACCGCCCUUUCGGGUUUUCAAUCCACCGAGCCGCUCAUUUUUGCCUAAGCCGCCCUUUCGGUUUUCAACUUAGCGAGCUAUUCAGUUUUUUUAUUUUUUUAGGCGAAGUAUUUCUUGACUGCAUAUGAAUUCACAGGACGAGUGAAAUCCUCCUCAUCCAUAGUUGUAAGUAUCAAAGCACCGCCUGAAAAGGCUCUCUUAACAACAUACGGACCCUCAUAGUUCGGAGUCCACUUGCCUCUGGAAUCGGGCGCGAAAGACAAGACUUUCUUGAGCACAAGGCCACCUUCUCGGAACACACGAGGCUUGACCUUCUUAUCAAAAGCUUUCUUCAUCCUCUGCUGAUAUAACUGACCGUGGCACAUGGCAGUCAAUCUCUUUUCUUCUAUCAAGUUCAGCUGGUCAUAACGACUCUGAACCCAUUCAGCAUCAGUCAACUUGGCCUCCAUCAAGACUCUCAUUGAUGGGAUCUCCACCUCUACUGGGAGUACAACCUCCAUGCCAUAAACAAGAGAGAAAGGGGUUGCCCCUGUUGAAGUGCGGACAGAUGUACGAUAUCCAUGCAAAGCGAAUGGCAGCAUCUCAUGCCAAUCUUUGUACGUAACAACCAUCUUCUGGAUAAUUUUCUUGAUAUUCUUGUUAGCAGCUUCAACAGCCCCAUUCAUCUUGGGUCUGUAAGGCAAAAAAUUAUGAUGUGCAAUCUUGAACUCACUACACAGCUCUUUCAUCAUCUUGUUAUUCAAGUUAGAUCCAUUAUCAGUAAUGAUCUUACCUGGCACACCAUAUCGGCAUAUGAGUUGAUUCUUGAUAAACUUCACGACCACCUGCCUGGUCACAUUUGCAUACGACGCCGCUUCAACCCACUUGGUGAAGUAAUUAAUUGCUACGAGAAUAAAUCUGUGUCCAUUGGACGCUUUCGGCUCUAUCAUGCCAAUCAUGUCAAUUCCCCACAUGGAGAAGGGCCAUGGUGAUGAGAUCACAUUCAAGAGUGUCGGGGGAAUAUGAAUCUUGUCCGCAUGAAUCUGACACUUAUGGCAUUUCUUCACGAAUUUGCAGCAGUCAGACUCCAUUGUCAGCAAUAGUAGUCUGCUCUCAACAUCUUUCUAGCCAUGGCAUGUCCAUUGGAAUGAGUACCAAAUGAACCCUCAUGGACCUCAGUCAUCAACAGGUCUUCUUCGUGUCUAUCCACGCAUCUGAGCAAAACCAUGUCAAAAUUUCUUUUGUAAAGCACUUCGCCAUUGAGGUAGAAAUUGCCUGACAAUCUCCUCAAAGUCUUCCUAUCUUUUACAGAUGCCCCAGGCGGGUAAAUCUGGCUCUGAAGGAAACACUUGAUAUCAUAAUACCACGGCUUAUCAUCUUUUACUUCUUCUACUGCAAAUACAUGAGCUGGUCUGUCCAAGCGCAUCACGGUGAUAUUGGGGACUUCAUUCCACAAUUUAACCACAAUCAUUGAAGCAAGCGUAGCAAGAGCAUCUGCCAUCCGAUUCUCAUCUCGAGAAAUAUGAUGGAAGUCAACCUCAGUAAAGAACGUUGAAAUCCUCCUCGCAUAAUCUCUGUAUGGAAUGAGGCCAGGCUGAUUCGUUUCCCAUUCACCCUUAAUCUGAUUAACAACGAGGGCUGAAUCACCAUAUACAUCAAGAUGCUUGAUCCUUAGAUCAAUACAUUCCUCCAAUCCCAUAAUACAGGCCUCAUACUCAGCCAUAUUAUUCGUGCAUUUGAAAGUUAGCCUUGUUGUAAAGGGAAUAUGCGCGCCCUGAGGAGUAAUAAUCACGGCCCCAAUAUCAUUUCCAUACUGAUUUACAGCACCAUCAAACACCAUACUCCAUCUGGAACCAGGCUCUGGCCCUUCAUCGAGUGUAGGCUCAUCACAAUCUUUCAUCUUCAAAUACAGAAUCUCCUCAUCCGGGAACUCAUACUGAACUGACUGAUAAUCUUCAAUAGGAUGAUGUGCCAAAUGGUCAGCCAAGAUACUACCUUUAAUAGCCUUCUGAGCUUGAUACUCAAUAUCAUACUUAGAUAACAACAUCUGCCAACGGGCAAUUCUCCCUGUUAAAGCAAGCUUCUCGAAGAUGUACUUGAUUGGAUCCAUUCUGGAUAUCAACCAAGUCGUAUGAUUUAUCAUAUACUGGCGUAAGCGCUUAGCAGCCCAAGCCAAAGCACAGCAUGUCUUUUUAAGCAUUGAGUAUCGAGACUCACAAUCAGUGAACUUCUUACUCAGGUAGUAAAUAACAUACUCCUUCUUCCCUGAUUCGUCUUGCUGACCAAGGACACAACCCAUCGAGUCUUCAAGAACAGUUAGAUACAUGAUCAAAGGUCUUCCCUCUACAGGUAGAGACAGAAUCGGAGGCUCAGACAGAUAUUCUUUAAUACUGCUGAAAGCUUUCUGGCAAUCCUCGGUCCAAUCAUGGGACUGAUCUUUCUGGAGGAGAUUGGAUAUAGGCGCACAUGUGGCAGUCAUGUGGGAUAUGAAUCUGGAGAUAUAAUUCAAGCGGCCAAGAAAACCUCGGACUUGCUUCUCAGUUUUGGGCGUAGGCAUCUCUUGUAUUGCUUUGACCUUUGCCGGAUCAACCUCAAUACCUCUUUCACUAACAAUGAAGCCCAAUAACUUGCCAGAACGGACUCCAAAUGUACACUUGUUGGGAUUCAGACGAAGCUUAUAUUUCCUCAAACGCCGGAAAAGCUUCAACAAAUGCUCUACAUGUUCAACUUCCGUUCUUGACUUUGCAAUCAUAUCGUCAACAUAUACCUCAAUCUCCUUGUGCAUCAUAUCAUGAAACAAGGUGGUCAUAGCUCGUUGAUACGUGGCUCCGGCGUUCUUCAAACCGAAGGGCAUCACUCGAUAAUAGAAUGUUCCCCAAGGUGUGAUGAAUGUUGUCUUCUCCAUAUCNNNNNNNNNNNNNNNNNNNNNNNNNNNNNNNNNNNNNNNNNNNNNNNNNNNNNNNNNNNNNNNNNNNNNNNNNNNNNNNNNNNNNNNNNNNNNNNNNNNNNNNNNNNNNNNNNNNNNNNNNNNNNNNNNNNNNNNNNNNNNNNNNNNNNNNNNNNNNNNNNNNNNAACAUCUGCCAACGGGAAAUCCUCCCUGUUAAAGCAGGCUUCUCGAAGAUGUACUUGAUUGGAUCCAUUCUGGAUAUCAACCAAGUCGUAUGAUUUAUCAUAUACUGGCGUAAGCGCUUAGCAGCCCAAGCCAAAGCACAGCAUGUCCUUUCAAGCAUUGAGUAUCGAGACUCACAAUCAGUGAACUUCUUACUCAAGUAGUAGAUAGCAUACUCUUUCUUCCCUGAUUCAUCUUGCUGGCCAAGGACACAACCCAUAGAAUCUUCAAGAACAGUCAGAUACAUGAUCAAUGGUCUCCCUUCCACGGGCGGAGACAGAAUCGAAGGCUCAGACAGAUAUUCUUUAAUACUGUCGAAAGCUUUCUGGCAAUCCUCGGUCCAAUCAUGGGACUGAUCUUUCCGGAGGAGCUUGAAUAUUGGCGCACAUGUGGCAGUCAUGUGGGAUAUGAAUCUGGAAAUGUAAUUCAAGCGGCCAAGAAAGCCUCGGACUUGCUUCUCAGUUUUGGGCGUAGGCAUCUCUCGUAUUUCUUUGACCUUUGCAGGGUCAACCUCAAUACCUUUCUCACUGACGAUAAAGCCCAAUAACUUGCCAGAACGGACUCCAAAUGUACACUUGUUGGGAUUCAGGCGAAGCUUAAACUUCCUCAGACGCUGAAAAAGCUUCAACAGGUGCUCUACAUGUUCAACUUCCGUUCUCGACUUAGCAAUCAUAUCAUCAACAUACACCUCAAUCUCUUUAUGCAUCAUAUCAUGAAACAAGGUAGUCAUAGCUCGUUGAUACGUGGCUCCGGCGUUCUUCAAACCGAAGGGCAUCACUCGAUAACAGAAUGUUCCCCAAGGUGUCAUGAAUGUUGUUUUCUCCAUAUCCUCGGGUGCCAUUUUAAUCUGAUUAUAUCCGGAAAAUCCAUCCAUAAACGAGAAGACCUUGAAUUUAGUUGUAUUAUCUACCAACAUAUCAAUAUGUGGUAGAGGGAAAUCAUCUUAAAUCCAUCCAUAAACGAGAAGACCUUGAAUUUAGUUGUAUUAUCUACCAACAUAUCAAUAUGUGGUAGAGGGAAAUCAUCUUUCGGACUAGCUUUAUUCAAAUCUCUAUAAUCCACACACAUCCGGACUUUUCCAUCUUUCUUAGGCACGAGCACAAUAUUGGCCACCCAUUGAGGAUAUAUAGAAGUCACCAGGAACCUCGCAUCAAUUUGCUUAUGAACUUCCUCUUUGAUCUUCACUGCCAUAUCAGGAUGAGUUCUUCUGAGUUUCUGCUUCACAGGCACGCACUCAAGCUUUAAAGGUAGAAAAUGUUGCACAAUAUCAGUAUCUAGACCAGGCAUGUCUUCAUAUGACCAGGCAAAGACGUCAACAUAUUCUCGUAGCAAUUCGAUCAACCCCUUCUUAACAGACUCUUCCAAGAGUGCCCCAAUCUUUACCUCUCGCACACAAUCCUCAGACCCCAAGUUGACUGUUUCCAGAUUCUCAAGAUGUGCCUGAAUGAUCUUCUCUUCAUGCUCAAGUAGCCGGGUGAUCACAUCAGGAAUCUCUUCAACAUCAUCUUCCUCUGCCUCAAAUACAGGGAAUUCAAAAUUGGGAGAUGGCGUUGGGUCAUUAUGUUCAAUGGGUUUGAUCAACCUGCAUAAUGAUUUUGGAUAUGAAAAGCUCUUAGAAUUCAAACAAGGCAAAUCAUUAUGCAUAUGGAAAGAUUGAUUUUAUUCUAUUUUUUAGGGUUUUAUGUGAUCACCAAUUUCAUGCAAAAAGCAAAAAAGGGAAAAUAAAUGGAAAAACAAACAUUUAACAUGAAUUUAUUGAAUGAAAAUAUCAUUGUAUUUGUGCGCCAACAAUGUCAUCACUCCUCCUUUUGGCAUGGGAGAAGGGUUUUCAAACAAAGUGAUUAUUACGUUGACUUAUGGACAACUGUUGGAAUAUCCACAGCGACCCAAUUGUUGCAGACCCCACCAGGGAUGAUGAAGUUGCCAGAAUCCUCUGUAUCUUCUUCCAAGACAGCAGCAGCUUCCUCGCUCUGACCAGUGUGGAUGAAACCUCCACUCUUGAAUAACCCUUGCUUGUUGAAAGUACCAGAAGAAAAACCUAUGCCAGCCCGGGACUCGUUGUCUUCUAACUCAAUCAUUUUUCCUAAACCAGUGGUUGCACCACGCUCAAUGGCCAGCUUUGCAUCUUUGUAGGAAGCAAAUGAAGGAGUUCUCUUCUCAAUAGGCUCAGCUAUAGAUAAAGCUUGGAAAGGAGUUCCAAUUUCAACCUCAGCAUCUAUAUAAGAGAAGGAAGACAAAUGGCUAACCAGGAGAGCCCUUUCUCCCCCUACCACCACCAGCUUCUUGUUUUUCACGAAUUUCAAUUUCUGGUGUAGGGUGGAUGUCACGGCGCCUGCCUCGUGAAUCCAUGGUCUGCCUAAGAGACAGCUAUACGAUGGGUGAAUGUCCAUAACCUGGAAGGUAAUCUGAAAAUCACUUGGUCCGAUCUUGAUUGGGAGAUCAACUUCCCCAAUCACAGUUUUGCGAGACCCAUCGAAAGCCUUCACAACUACUCCACUCUGCCUCAUGGGAGGCCCUUGAUAUGAUAGUUUUGAGAGAGUGGACUUUGGCAAUACGUUCAAUGAUGACCCGGUGUCCACCAGCACAUUGGACAUGGCGUCGUCUUUGCAAUUCAUAGAUAUGUGUAAAGCCAAGUUGUGGUCUCUUCCCUCCUCAGGGAGAUCAGAGUCACAAAAGCUCAGGUUGUUACAAGCAGUAAUGUUUGCAACAAUGCUAUCGAAUUGCUCCAAAGUGACAUCGUGAUCCACAUAUGCCACAUCCAACACCUUCUGCAGAGCCUCUCGGUGUGGUUCUGAAUUUAAGAGUAAGGAUAACACAGAUAUUUUGGAUGGCGUUUGUAGAAGUUGGUCUACAACAUUGUACUCGCUCCUUUUGAUGAGUCUCAACAUCUCAUCACAGUCUUCUUUCUCAUUGCCACUCGGGCCAACAGAAGUAGGAGUUUUCAGUACGGAGGAGGGCUUAACAGCAAGUUCUAGAUUCGGCGAAUUCACAACGUUCCUAAUCGGGCGUUCAACAAAACCAGCAUUAAUUUGAGGCUUCGGCGGUGCUGAAAACACACGACCGCUGCGGGUCAAACCACUUACAUCGGCAAUAUUCACAACAGAAGAAGAGGGCAAGGACACCUCUUUCCCCUUCUCUACUGCUACAGCGUUGUAGCGAUAGGGAACUGCCUUUUCAGAAGAGUAAGGCACAGGACCAGCAGUCUUAAUGAUCAGAGCGGGAGAAGCCUUCUGCUUGCUACCAUUGUACUUGAUGAUAACAGGCUCGGGGAUCCGAAACACUGGAGAAAUUACGUUGACCUCAUCAGCAUCUUCGUCAACAUUUCUGUUUUGAAGGAUCUCAAUGACUCCUUCGUCCAGCAUUUCCUGAACAUCCUUGCGCACCUGGCAAAAACCAAAUCGGUUAAUAGAGCAGACUCGGCAUCUAUCAUAGUCAUGCUCAUAAUGACUAUAAUCACAUAGCAAACGGUGCAUCUCGACCAGAGAUUGUCGAAUAUGACUGACAUAUUUGACCUUGUAUUUGCCAGGGCAACCCUGGACCAUCUUGACAGAUUCCCCAUGUUCGGGCAAUGGGUUCUUCUUCACAUUAGGACCUACGUCCUCAAAACAUAGAAUUCCACACCUCACAAGGUCUUGAACCUUGGUCUUCAAAGGGUAACAAUUCUCCACGUCGUGGCCGGGAAUCACAUUAGGACCUACGUCCUCAAAACAUAGAAUUCCACACCUCACAAGGUCUUGAACCUUGGUCUUCAAAGGGUAACAAUUCUCCACGUCGUGGCCGGGAGCACCAGAAUGGUAAACACAGUGCAACUCGGGCUUAUACCACCACUGGGGGUUAGCAGGUAGAGCCGGUGGGUCUCUCGGAGUAAUCAACUUUCUCUCUAUCAAAGAGGGAUAUAACUCUGCGUACGUCAUCGGAAUAGGAUCAAAAGUGACCUUUUUCCUCUUGUAACUUGUGUUGGUUUGAUUACUGUUGCGAGGCUGGUAGGCCUGCUGUUGUGGACGGAGCUGUUGUGGCUGAUAUUGCUGAGGUAGUUGUUGAUUGCUGUUGUGAUGCUGGUACUGUUGAUUAUCUCUAAAGAUAGGUGCUAUAUGAGCCACCUGGUGCUGGUUACUGGCGGGACGCACAGUCUUCCUCCUCAUAGAGGGUCUUCUUGGUUUCUCAUGGGAGGUCACAGCAUGUGUCACUCCAUCUUUCUUCUUUGCAAACGCCCCAUAACGUUUGGCAGAAGAGCCUUCUUCUCUGGUUAACCGUCCUUCACGAACCCCUUCUUCUAGACGCAUCCCCAUAUUCACCAUCUCGGUGAAGUCAGAAAACCGUCCUUCACGAACCCCUUCUUCUAGACGCAUCCCCAUAUUCACCAUCUCGGUGAAGUCAGAAGGAGCGCUAGCAAUCAUCCGCUCAUAAUAAAAAGAACUUAAAGUCUUCAAAAAGAUCUUAGCCAUCUCUUUCUCUUCUAGCGGAGGCCCGAUCUGUGCUGCCAUCUCUCGCCACCUCUGGGCGUACUCCUUAAAUGUUUCUUUAUCCUUCUGGGACAUGGCUCUCAAUUGAUCUCUAUCGGGAGCCAUAUCCACGUUGUACUUGUAUUGCUUGACGAAGGCUUCGUCGAGAUCAUUGAAGGAUCGGAUGUUCGCGCUGUCUAAACCCAUGUACCAACGCAAAGCGGCACCGGACAGACUAUCCUGAAAGUAGUGGAUGAGUAGUUGGUCAUUAUCGGUCUGAGUCGACAUCUUCCUGGCAUACAUGACCAGGUGGCUGAGAGGACAAGUAUUUCCUUUGUACUUUUCGAAAUCAGGGACCUUGAAUUUCACAGGGAUCUUCACAUUUAGAACCAAGCAGAGUUCGGCAGCAGACUUGCCAAAAAGAUCUUUCCCUCUGAGAGUUUUCAAUUCCUUGCGAAGCUCAAGAAAUUGAUCGUUCAUAGCAUCCAUCUUCUCAUAAACAUCUGGACCCUCAGACGGCUCAGAAUGAUAGAUGGUGUCGUCUACCCUGGGCAAAGUAUGCACGACAGGAGGAGGAACGGCAAGGACCGGGCUAGAUGCCGACAGAGAAGCAAAGGUAGGAACAGGACCCUCAGGCAUGAAAUUGGGAGGCAUCCCCCACGGGAACCCGGUUGGCAUGGCUGUUGGAACAAAGUGUGCACUGGCAGCGGGCACAGUAGAGGAGACAAUCUCGGAGAUAACUGUCCUCUGGGGAGGAGUUGAAGGUGUCGGAGAAGACUGGCUCUGGGCAGCCAUGAGUGACUCCAUUAGGGCAGUCAAUCUGGCCACUUCCUCUUUCAGCUCGCGGUUCUCUUGCUCUAAGUGAUCCAUCAGUCUUGAAAUGUUGGCUCUAGUGUAGUACCGGUGAGUCAGCUUGUCUUCAAAAUAAAUGAAGAACACAGAGUUAGACCACAGGACAAGAAGCCGGGAACAAAACCUGCUUAUGCACAUGAUGCAUGCAAUGCUUGUGCAUAUGAUUUGUUUUUUAUUUCAAAGGAACUUUAGAGUUUUAUUUGCAAAUUCUGGAAAUAUUAAGCAUUUUAUCACAUAUGGAAAUAUCUCAUCAAAUAAUAUCAGGGAAAAGAAGUGCAACAUCGUCAAUCAUAUACAAGAGAAAAGGAAAAUAAUCGUCUUAUGGAUCCCUAGAAACAAUCAUCUAAAGCUCGGGACACAGGAAGAUAAGAUGCGCGAAGCCUCUUCACCUCCCUCUCGUAGGCUGCCUCCAUAUCGGCCUUCUCUUUGGCGAGUCGAUCAUACCUCCUCUUCCAGAACUUAGAAGACUGAGGAAGUAGAGAAGUCCAUACAUCAUCAGGGUCAUCAAUAACCUGAUGCUCAAGAAACUCAAUCAACGCAUCCUUCUCCUUAAUCUGCUGAAGCAACUCUUCACGUUCACGGAUCCAGGCACGUGAACGGUCUUCGUCUCUCAACUCCUCUACUCCUUGAUUAGGGAGGGUUGAAGGCCCAACCAUAAUCAUAGGUGUAGGUCUCGGAUACUCGUAAGGCAUGAGAUACUCAGACGCCCUCUUCCUAACCCAAACAGUGUAAGGCUCCAAAGCGAUGCAAUUCUUAGGACCCAACUCUUUCCUUCCUUUCCUAUGAAUCUUGCGCCAAGCGCGGACCAUCCUAGCUUUCAAGCCUUGGGGAUCUUUACCAUCCUGAAAGAAUACACCCUCUAACAGAAUGUUAUUGGGUUUAUCCUUUAAGGGGAACCCAAGCUGCCGACGUGCCAAAACAGGAUUGUAGUUAAUCCCACCACAUGUACCAAGAAGAGGUACAUUGGAGAAUUCGCCACAAGAGUCAAUAAUCUGCACACCAUCAUACACACGGUUAUACCAAGAGAUAUCAUCAUUAGUGAGAGACAUAAGUCUCGUGGACCACCGUAGACAUCCCUUGUUCUCCUUGAAAGCGACCGUCUGAGGUAAGUGAGAAAUAAACCACUUAUACAACAGAGGAAAACAACACACAAUGGCGCCACCACCCUUUGCAUUCCUCAUAUGCAAAGAGAAAUAGGUAUCGCCCAACAGAGUCGGAACGGGAUUAAGAGUAGAGAAAAUCCUAAUAGCGUUCACAUCUACAAACUUGUCGAUGUUGGGGAAUAACACUAGCCCAUAGAUGAGAAGUACAAAUAUGGCCUCAAAGACAUCCUCACUCGUGGCCUUCCCAUACAUAGCAGCUUGAGCAAUGAGGAACUCAAAAGGGAGACCUUGAAUUCCACCUUUGGUAGUCAUAUGAGCACCAAUCAGAGAUUCAUCUAUGUGUAACAUGCCUGCUAUCUCUUGAGAAGUAGGAACCCUUUCCAAGCCACUGAACGGCAACUGAUCCAGAAUAGGUAUACCCACCAGAUAAGCAUACUCCUCAAGUGUAGGCAAAAGCUGAAAAUCUGGAAACGUGAAGCAACGGUACAAAGGAUCGUAAAAAUGCACCAAUACACUCAUCAAUCCUUCAUCCACCUGAGUAGUCAGGAGAGGAAGAAGCUUCCCAAAACGAGCCUUGAAACCCAAAAGAUCUAAUACAUAGGAUGUCAAAUUCCUUAACUCUUUCAAGUCUGGUUGUUUGAAACUGUACUUCUUUGUAUUCCUUCUUUGUCUUUCCAUGUCUGAAAAUUUUGCAAAUAGACCUCUUAAGUUCCUUGAAAAUUUUCUUAUUUAUUAAUGAUAUGGAUGCAAAUGGGUGCAUGAAUGCAUGAAUGCAACAAUCACACUCAAGGAUCAAGCAAAGCACACCAAACAAAGGUCAUAGGAUGGAUCAUGUUAUCCUUAAUAUCAACCACCCAUUUUGGUGGAUUAUGGUUUACACCUUAUCAACACCCAAGUUCCAUUGAUAUUAAGGAUACCUGAACGGAUCAACCAUGAAUCAAGGGUUUGUUGCAAGUCACGAGCAUGGAGUUUAGGUUAAGAACCACCCAAAGGGAGUGUACUAAGGUUUAAACCUGCCAAACAUGUUCUACAAAAGGUUCCCAUAGUCAUCAUCCCAUCUUUCGGAUAUUAUCGGAGAAACGACUACUCGUAUUCCAAAAAUAUUCUCAAGAGAGACUCUUAUGAGUGUAGUAUCGCGUAACAAUCGUAUCAAAUCUUACACUUGAACGACCUUCGCACUACAUCCUAAGAAUAGGCCAAGAUGGGCUUGGUAAACUAAGGUCCUUGGCUUCUAAGGUCUAUAUUGGAAAGAGUAAUGUCUAACCACAACUUACUUGUGUGACAUUAUUGAUCCCAACAUGACCUCCACCAAGUGAAUGGGCUUGCAAGUCAACUUGCUAAGGAAUAACUCCACACAAGUCAACAAGACUAUGCCAUUCUCCUAUCCUAAGUGCACUCGAGUUCGGGUAUAGAACUCAUCUCACAAAGAUCACCAAGCAUACAAGGAAUUAAUAUUCAAACAAUUCAAUCAUUACAUACAAUACAGUAAUCCCAAAUUGCACAAAAAUAUGUCACAAAACAAUAUACAAUACAAUACAACAAAUAUGAAAAGUAGGCAAAACCCACUAGGCAAAUGUCCCCAGCAGAGUCGCCACUUUUCUGUAGCGGGGUAUUCGUUACCAUUAGAGAUAUUGACUAAAUCCAAGGUAAAUCAUACAAGUCGAGUCGCCACCGCACUUCUAUUUAUCCAAAGGAAUGGUUAGAAAGCGAACAAAAACCUAAAAGUUUUAUCGAAUCAAAAACUAGUAAAAAUGUCAGAGAUCUGGGUAAGGGGGUUGGUUAUGCAAUGGGAAGGUAUUAGGCACCCAAAACAUCCUAGGUACUCCUAGGGAGCCCUUUUCACAUUUGUUGCAAAGGUUGUUUUUUUUUGUGAAAAUUUAUUUGUGCAAACAUGAUUAAAGGGAUGAGGAAAGCAUGUAUGUUUAUCUAAUGUACUACUUACUAAAAGAAGGGUCAAAAGAAAAUGACUUGCACGGAUGUCGCAUCCACUACAUACGUAUCUCAUCUGAAUCUGAGAAUCAGAGUCUUCGUAGCUCGGCUACCUACGGGUUAAAGGGGGAGUGUGCUCGCUAAGACACCGCGUCUUAUGCCUACGUAUCUCAUCGGGGAUGAAACUCAGAGCAAAACGUAGUUCGACCACCUAUGGGUUAAGGGUUUGGGGCGAACGACGUUACUACGCAAUCUACCGGAUACUCGACCUUUGGAGACUUACUCGCCUGUAGUAGAAAGAGUAAAUGUGUUCUAUGGAGAAGAAAAAUCAAUGAAUUUGUUUGAGUUUUAGGAACGCUCAGGCAAAAGGGAAGUCCUAGACGAAGGAACCUGCAUAAAGUAAACACACAAAACAUUGCCUCCUAUCGAGGUCUUCCAGCUAAGAAAGCGGUAAAAAUCGGAAACUGUAAAAAGUGACCACACGGAUAAAAAGAUUCGAAGUAACAAGUAAUUAACGGAACAAGGAACCACGCACGAUGCUCUCGAAGUCGCACCUCAAAAAAGUGAGUCAGAUAUAGGUAACCGAAUAUCCUCCAGUGUACCCAGCACAAUAAAGGGGAACACCAGCAACCAAUCUCAUGCACCAACAUAUCACGCCCUCACAAAACAAAACUCAACAAAACAGGGUAGAGAAACAAGAAUAGGGUAAGUCAAAUUGCCCUCAAUCAUAUGUAACCGACAUGAAAAAAUCAUGCGCAUUAAAAUUCACAAAAAGUCAACAAAGCAACCAAGGUAAGAGCCUAAUAUCUUGCAACACAUGCAUCAAGAAGGGUAUCAAAUUCACCCAUAAUACCUCAUACAUUCAGAAACAUUCCAAAUUAAAGCAAAAGUAAUUAGAAUAAGCAAUAACCUGACUGGAGGAGAUCCGACAUGAAAUUGAAUUGCCCGUUGUUUGCCAAAGCCAAUCUGAGGGUUUAUAUGAGAGGGAAUUGGUUCUUUGCCGAUGAGUUCCCUUCAGUCUCUGGAGGUUGCUCUGAACUCUGUUAGCUCUUCUCUCACUAUCUUUUUCCUGCUAGGAUAAUAGGAAUGGAAUGAAAUUUUGUUUCACUGAAACUCUGAAUUUAUAACCUGAUUUUGUGGACCUGUGGGCUCAAAUGAGAGAGACCCAAGUCCAAAAAAAUUUUGUUAUAUUUUAUUUAUUUAUUAUUUAUUUAUUUAUUUAUUAUUAUUUUAUUUAUUUAUUUAUUUAUUUUCGUUCUUUUUUCUUCUUCUUUUUUCGUUCUUUUUUUUUCUCGUUUUUUUUUAAACACGUGGGCUUCGCCUAGCGAGCAUGACAGUUCAUGAACAAACUUUUGCUCCUUCAAGAUUAAUGUUUUGACUGACGAAUAGACCCCAUUUGAACCUGUUGGAAGUAUCUUAAGUCAUUCCCUUGUGUUGACUGAUCAUCUAAAUAGAACACACAAAGUGUCUUGGAUGAUACUCAAGCUUCAAACAAAAGAUGUUAGUGACACAUUUUUGUGCUU